rnacentral:rRNA from 1 species
GAAUGUGCCGCUUGCUUAACACAUGCAAGUCGAACGGUGACAUCAGAGCUUGCUCUGGUUGAUCAGUGGCGAACGGGUGAGUAACACGUGAGUAACCUGCCCUUGACUCUGGGAUAACUCCGGGAAACCGGGGCUAAUACCGGAUACGAGACGCGACCGCAUGGUCGGCGUCUGGAAAGUUUUUCGGUCAAGGAUGGACUCGCGGCCUAUCAGCUUGUUGGUGAGGUAAUGGCUCACCAAGGCGUCGACGGGUAGCCGGCCUGAGAGGGCGACCGGCCACACUGGGACUGAGACACGGCCCAGACUCCUACGGGAGGCAGCAGUGGGGAAUAUUGCACAAUGGGCGAAAGCCUGAUGCAGCGACGCCGCGUGAGGGAUGAAGGCCUUCGGGUUGUAAACCUCUUUCAGUAGGGAAGAAGCG